rnacentral:rRNA from 1 species
CCUACGGGAGGCUGCAGUGAGGAAUAUUGGUCAAUGGGCUUACGCCUGAACCAGCCAAGUCGCGUGAGGGAAGACUGCCCUAUGGGUUGUAAACCUCUUUUGUCAGGGAGCAAUUGGCGCUACGUGUAGCGUUAUCGAGAGUACCUGAAGAAAAGCAUCGGCUAACUCCGUGCCAGCAGCCGCGGUAAUACGGAGGAUGCGAGCGUUAUCCGGAUUUAUUGGGUUUAAAGGGUGCGUAGGCGGAAUGCCAAGUCAGCGGUAAAAUCGCGGGGCUCAACCAUAGAAUUGCCGUUGAAACUGGGGGGCUUGAGUAUGUUUGAGGCAGGCGGAAUGCGUGGUGUAGCGGUGAAAUGCUUAGAUAUCACGCAGAACCCCGAUUGCGAAGGCAGCCUGCCAAGCCAUGACUGACGCUGAUGCACGAAAGCGUGGGGAUCAAACAGGAUUAGAUACCCUAGUAGUC